CCGAGUUAUACAACUCAUCAACCCUGUGAACAUACCUAAAACGUUGCUUCGGCGGGAACAGACGGCCCCGUAACACGGGCCGCCCCCGCCAGAGGACCCCCUAACUCUGUUUCUAUUAUGUUUCUUCUGAGUAAAACAAGCAAAUAAAUUA
rnacentral:misc_RNA from 2 species